rnacentral:lncRNA from 1 species
UGAGGAAACUGAUGCCUAGAGAGCUCAAGCAAUUGGCCUUAUAACAGUAAAAGGGUAAUGAAAUAAUAAAAGUAAAGAGAAUUCUAGAAUUGAUGGGCUUCACAAGGACUGCUUUCCAACGUUUUGCUGAUGGCCUCAGACCUGGAAGAAUUAUAUGAACAAAGGCGUGUGUACAAUGCCGGCCAGUAGUCCAGUCUGAUAGGAAUGGAAAGUACAUGAACAGGAAUAAUAUGAGAGAAGACUGGAAAGUCAGGAUGUUCUUUGCCAUUGCCGACAAUGACAGGAGACCUCCCAAAGUCAAACAGAUGAAAACAUCACCACAGGCACAUUGGAGCAGAAUUAAAAAGCAUCCCUCUUGUCAUCAUGGUGAUGACAGGUAUUAUAUACCAGGUGUAUGGGAGAUAACAUGGUUGCCUUACCAUGUAAUUAUCAUUGUUUCCAAUGGAGUUAUCACCAACUGUAAUUGCCACUGCUGAGCAUAUGGCUUUUGGUAGUGACUCAGAAAACAACCUGUCGUGUUUGUUCUGAGUAGCAUCUGGGGGACCAAUCAAGGUGUCAUGAUUCUGAGCCAUAAAGGGAGAUGCCUUUAUCUCGGGGGUAACUGAAUGCUUUUCAGCCAGAAGCGAGUUCAGAAUUUGCAUGGUGGCCAAGUGAAGGGCAAUCAAAGGAUUGAGUUAAUGUGACUGUCAAGUGUUGGAUAAAAAAAAAUAAAAAUAAAAAAACUUCAUUCCCA